GAACGCUGGCGGCAGGCUUAACACAUGCAAGUCGAGCGGGGAAAGGUAGCUUGCUACCUGACCUAGCGGCGGACGGGUGAGUAAUGCUUAGGAAUCUGCCUAUUAGUGGGGGACAACGUUCCGAAAGGAAUGCUAAUACCGCAUACGCCCUACGGGGGAAAGCAGGGGAUCUUCGGACCUUGCGCUAAUAGAUGAGCCUAAGUCGGAUUAGCUAGUUGGUGGGGUAAAGGCCUACCAAGGCGACGAUCUGUAGCGGGUCUGAGAGGAUGAUCCGCCACACUGGGACUGAGACACGGCCCAGACUCCUACGGGAGGCAGCAGUGGGGAAUAUUGGACAAUGGGCGGAAGCCUGAUCCAGCCAUGCCGCGUGUGUGAAGAAGGCCUUUUGGUUGUAAAGCACUUUAAGCGAGGAGGAGGCUCCUUUAGUUAAUACCUAAAGAGAGUGGACGUUACUCGCAGAAUAAGCACCGGCUAACUCUGUGCCAGCAGCCGCGGUAAUACAGAGGGUGCGAGCGUUAAUCGGAUUUACUGGGCGUAAAGCGUGCGUAGGCGGCUUUUUAAGUCGGAUGUGAAAUCCCUGAGCUUAACUUAGGAAUUGCAUUCGAUACUGGAAAGCUAGAGUAUGGGAGAGGAUGGUAGAAUUCCAGGUGUAGCGGUGAAAUGCGUAGAGAUCUGGAGGAAUACCGAUGGCGAAGGCAGCCAUCUGGCCUAAUACUGACGCUGAGGUACGAAAGCAUGGGGAGCAAACAGGAUUAGAUACCCUGGUAGUCCAUGCCGUAAACGAUGUCUACUAGCCGUUGGGGCCUUUGAGGCUUUAGUGGCGCAGCUAACGCGAUAAGUAGACCGCCUGGGGAGUACGGUCGCAAGACUAAAACUCAAAUGAAUUGACGGGGGCCCGCACAAGCGGUGGAGCAUGUGGUUUAAUUCGAUGCAACGCGAAGAACCUUACCUGGCCUUGACAUACUAAGAACUUUCCAGAGAUGGAUUGGUGCCUUC
rnacentral:rRNA from 1 species